rnacentral:rRNA from 1 species
CAGCCGCCGCGGUAAUACGAAGGGGGCUAGCGUUGUUCGGAAUUACUGGGCGUAAAGCGCACGUAGGCGGACAUUUAAGUCAGGGGUGAAAUCCCGGGGCUCAACCCCGGAACUGCCUUUGAUACUGGGUGUCUUGAGUGUGGAAGAGGUCAGUGGAAUUGCGAGUGUAGAGGUGAAAUUCGUAGAUAUUCGCAGGAACACCGGUGGCGAAGGCGGCUCACUGGUCCAUUACUGACGCUGAGGUGCGAAAGCGUGGGGAGCAAACAGGAUUAGAUACCCCCGUAGUCCCUGUCUCUUAUAC